CUCCCUGCAAUUAUACUAAGAGGUGGGGACCUUCAGAGGUGAUUAACUCAUUAGAUGUCUUCCCUCAUGAGUGAGAUUAGUGUUUCUCUAAAAGAGGUUUGAAGGAACUUAUUUUGCCUUUUUACUAUGCAAGAUCAUAUAGAAGGGGCAAUCUAUGAGGAACAGGGGCGCACCAGACACCAAAUCUGGCACCUUGAUCUUGGAAUUCUCAGCCCCCAGCACUUCACUGUAACUUUAUUUUAGAGUCCUGCACUGCCCUGCCUAGGCUCUCCAGGGCCAUGGUGAGGAAAGCUCUUAAAAGGGCAGUUCCAGGUAGUCCUUUGGGAGUUUCCCAAAAAGAAGGGGCAGAAGAAACUAGAAACCGUAAAAACCUAAAUGAGCGACACAAGAUACUAAGUCUCCAUUAGCUAGCAAGAAGAUACACUUCAAUUUGCCUGGAACAGCCUUGUUUUAUUCCUAUAGAACAAUCCCUUCAUGGAGGAAGGUCCCCGAAGUCUCUGCCCUGGUCCAAAGAAUACCCAGAAAGGUUUUCCUUUCUCUGGAGAGAUCCAGGCAUGGACAUUGAGAAUGCUGAUUAGGACUUGCUCCCUCCCCUCCACAACAGCAGUCAGUUCUUUAUUGAGUGAAAUGGAAAGGUGGCACUGUCUUCUUCAUCCUUGGAGCCUAAAAGAAGGAGAUGAGAUGAACAGGGAGAAAGCACAAAGACAGGCCCUCCAGCAUGGCUUCCUUUAGUGGUCAGUGCUAACCCACCAUGGAUCAGGACUUCCAGUAAGUUAUUCCUUCAUAAUAGACUUAGCAGGUAUUCAAGAAGAAAGUUGGUAGAGCAAAGGCUGGUAGCAAAUCACUGCCUUUCAGGCACCUGGAGUCAAGAAACCUGGAAAACAACAACUUAGGGAAGACAAAGAGAAGAGCUCCGGGAAUUAAAAAAGAGCAGACAGAAAAGCUAGAAAUCACAGAGAAGUUGGAGAAACUGAAGAUAACACAGAGAAAAGAUUAAAGUAGUCUGAAACAUCCGUCCCACCUCCUGGGGGUGUGGGGCUGUCUUUAUAAACAGAAGGUAAGCCCAGGAAGAGUUGGCAGCCCCAGCAAUAAAUAACAGACUGGCAGUGUUAGCCCCCAGAGAAGCCCACAGUAAGCUGCAAAUACAGGGUGGGUCUUACUCUGAAAGUGGCUCCUUCCACAUGGCACUCUAGAGUUGGAAAAGAAAUACAGUACAACACCCACUAUAUUUGGGAAAAUGUGGUAUAUAUACACAAUGGAGUACUACUCAGCCACAAAGAAAAAUAAAUGCCAAUCACUUGUAGAAAAAUGCAUGUACCUUGAGACCAUAGCGCUAAGUGAAAUAAAUUAGACACCAAAGGUUAAAUGGCAUAUGUUUUUUAUAUGAGAAAUCCAAAGUAUAAAUAAUUGAAAUAUCAAAAUAAAAGGUAGAUGAUAGUAAACAGAGAGAUAGACUUUGUG
ensembl:lncRNA